AGCAGGACAGAGAUAUCAUGAG
rnacentral:misc_RNA from 1 species